AUUGAACUCUGGCGGCAGGCCUAACACAUGCAAGUCGAACGAGUGGCGGACGGGUGAGUAAUGUCUGGGAAACUGCCUGAUGGCGGGGGAUAACUACUGGAAACGGUAGCUAAUACCGCAUACCAUCAGAUGUGCCCAGAUGGGAUUAGCUUGUUGGUGGGGUAACGGCUCACCAAGGCGACGAUCCCUAGCUGGUCUGAGAGGAGGACCAGCGACACUGGAACUGAGACACGGACCAGACUCCUGCGGGAGGCAGCGGUGGGGAAUAUUGCACAAGGGGCGCUAGCCUGAUGCAGCCAUGCCGGGUGUAUGAAGAAGGCCGUCGGGUUGUAGAGGACUUUCAGCGGGGAGGCGUUACCCGCAGAAGAAGCACCGGCUAACUCCGUGCCAGCAGCCGCGGUAAUAC
rnacentral:rRNA from 1 species